GUGAGUUCUAAGCACUUGGGUACAAGGGACUUCUGGGCAGCUUCAUGGACCCGACAAGCCAGGCCUUAGCCAUGACUCCAUUUUCUACCUGACUGACCUCUACAGGCCUCCUGAAAAAGAGCCCACACUGAUGCUUUGAGUCUCCAGGUGUUAAUGUCAACUAAAAUUGUUUCUGCUCGUCCCCUUUCUCUUGUGAACAGUAACCCAAAUACAUUACCCACCUUUGGGGAAAAACUUUAGGAACCAUCACUAAACAUACUUGUUGCAGUUUUGCAGGGUCCUUCCUCCUAGACACCUGGCCCCGUCUUCAAUCAAUGGGUUCCAUAUCUGCAAAUUGGCUCAAGUCUGGGGACAAAGCAAGAGACCAAGCCUCCUGCAUCUCCAUUCCUGUCUGCUUUCUAAAUUGCAGGGUUCCAGUUUUUCACCACCAGGGCCUGACCUUCACAUAACUACCUUGGCCGACCAUUCAGACGUAUCUGUGCAACUCUUAUCUCCAGCCUGCCACUCUGCUGUAUCUGUUCUCCACUGCCAGAGAUAAGGGCUCCUUUGUGAGCUACCGUGGAGCCUGCUGGCUCUCACACUUCCCUGUCACUGCCUGUCAGCGGCCCACAGUCCCUCUUCAUCCCUCUGCAGAACAUCAGCGUGAGUUCACAGUAACCAGCCAACUUUUGAGGGCACUGUUCCCAGCCCCCUUAUUUUUCAAAUGCCUGGAUUAUCACACCUACUACAACAUUCCUCUCCUAUAGGAAACUUUCCCAAUGAGAUAUUCCCAGUGAAAUAUUUGAGCUGCUCCCUGGCUUUAGGGACUAUCUGGGGCCCCCAUCACCUAGGACAGCACCCUCCUCCCCAUCCCAUGAGGCAGUCCCAGAUACCCAUCUUGCCACUGUUUCCUCAGACCACUCAUGUUAGUUCUGGUCCUUCCACUCAGACAGGACUCUGUGUGCAGAAGACUUACAGGGGGAACACGUACAGGGGAAGGUGAGCAGGAUACCAGUUGGGGAGGGGAGCGAAGGGGAGGGAGAUGCGAUGGCCUAAGUUCUCUGAGCCCUGUUUUCCUCACCUCUAAAAUGGGGAUGAAAGUCGUGUACCUGGAUAAAAGUACCCAGGACCAAUGGAUUCUCAGUAUAUCAUUGACUGAAUCAGAUUUACUCAUAUAUGUAAUAAACACCGAGUACAGGCUGGCCAUGGGCACUCUUUCACUCCUGAGGAGUCUCUGGAUGAGUAAAAUAUGGCACAGGCCCAACGAGCUCACAAUCAAAAGAGACAGACCAUCUAUGUGCAGAAAAAUGCCCCCCCAUGCCCGAAGACGUCCGUAUCCAACCCCCCCAGAUUUGUGAACAUGCUAUCUGACGUCGCAAAGGAGAAUUAAGGUUGCAGAUGAAAUUAAGGCUGCUAAUCAGCUGACUUCAAGAGUUCGUCCUGCAUGAGUCCUGUGUCAUCACAAGAGUGCUUAUAAGUCGAAGAAGGAGGCAAAAGUGAGUGGCAGAGAGAUGCAACAUGAGAGACACGACCAGUGACUACAGGCUUUGAAGAUGGAAGGGACCAAGGGCCAAGGAUAUGGACAGCCUCUGGAAACUUGAGGAGGCAAGGAAACAUUCUCCCCUGAAGCCUCUGGAAGGAAUGCAGGCCUUGGGGUUAGCCCAGUGACACCCAUUUGGACUUCAGAUCUUCAGAAUUGUAAGAAAAUAAAUCUGUUUGUUUUGUUACAUAAA